rnacentral:tRNA from 1 species
GCCUCUAUGGCGUAGUGGUAGCGCGUCGCACUUGUACCACGUCAAUGCGAAGGUCUCUCGUUCGAUCCGGGAUGGAGGCA